rnacentral:rRNA from 1 species
GACGAACGCUGGCGGCAUGCUUAACACAUGCAAGUCGAACGAGAAUCAACGGAUCAAGGAUUCGUCCAAGUGAAGUUGAGGACAGUGGCGGACGGGUGAGUAACGCGUGAGGAACCUGCCUUUCAGAGGGGGACAACAGUUGGAAACGACUGCUAAUACCGCAUAACGCGUAGAGGUCGCAUGGCCUUUAGCCAAAGNUUUAUCGCUGAAAGAUGGCCUCGCGUCUGAUUAGCUAGUUGGUGAGGUAACGGCCCACCAAGGCGACGAUCAGUAGCCGGACUGAGAGGUUGAACGGCCACAUUGGGACUGAGAUACGGCCCAGACUCCUACGGGAGGCAGCAGUGGGGAAUAUUGGGCAAUGGGCGCAAGCCUGACCCAGCAAUGCCGCGUGAAGGAAGAAGGCUUUCGGGUUGUAAACUUCUUUUGUUAAGGACGAAAUUUGACGGUACUUAACGGAAUAAGCUCCGGCUAACUAUGUG